rnacentral:tRNA from 1 species
GCCACCCUAGCUCAACGGCAGAGCAAUCGCUUCGUAAGCGAUAGGUUGUCGGUUCAAAUCCGACGGGUGGCU